AGCAGUGUGGCUCAAUAGAAAGAGCUUGGGCUUGGGAGUCAGAGGUCAUGGGUUCGAAUCCUGGCUCUGCCA
rnacentral:tRNA from 1 species